GUGCUCACUUCAGCAGCAUAAAUACUAAAAAUUGCAAUGAUACAAAGAUUAACAUGGCCCCUGCAUAAGGAUGAAAUACAAAUUUGUGAAAUGUUCCAUUAAAAA